rnacentral:rRNA from 1 species
CCUACGGGAGGCAGCAGUGAGGAAUAUUGGUCAAUGGGCGCGAGCCUGAACCAGCCAAGUCGCGUGAGGGAAGACGGUCCUAUGGAUUGUAAACCUCUUUUGUCGGGGAGCAAAAGACGCCACGCGUGGCGUUCCGAGUGUACCCGAAGAAAAAGCAUCGGCUAACACCGUGCCAGCAGCCGCGGUAAUACGGAGGAUGCGAGCGUUAUCCGGAUUUAUUGGGUUUAAGGGGUGCGCAGGCGGAAGAUCAAGUCAGCGGUAAAAUUGAGAGGCUCAACCUCUUCGAGCCGUUGAAACUGGGGGUCUUGAGUGAGCGAGAGGUAUGCGGAAUGCGUGGUGUAGCGGUGAAAUGCAUAGAUAUCACGCAGAACUCCGAUUGCGAAGGCAGCAUACCGGCGCACAACUGACGCUCAUGCACGAAAGUGUGGGUAUCGAACAGGAUUAGAUACCCUAGUAGUC